GUCCACGCCCUAAACUAUGCAUACUAGGUAUUGGCAGUAUCGACCCUGUCAGUGCCGUUUAAAAAGCUAACGCGUUAAGUAUGCCGCCUGGGGAGUACGGUCGCAAGACUAAAACUCAAAGGAAUAGACGGGGACCCGCACAAGCAGUGGAACAUGUGGUUUAAUUCGAUGGUAAACGGGGAACCUUACCUGGGCUCAACUACUAGCUGCAAGCCUGCAGAAACGCAGGCCGCUUCGAGGGUGCUAGAUAGGUGCUGCAUGGUUGCCGU
rnacentral:rRNA from 1 species